rnacentral:rRNA from 1 species
AGUGAACGCUGGCGGUGGGCCUAACACAUGCAAGUCGAACGGCAGCACAGUAAGAGCUUGCUCUUACGGGUGGCGAGUGGCGGACGGGUGAGGAAUACAUCGGAAUCUACUUUUUCGUGGGGGAUAACGUAGGGAAACUUACGCUAAUACCGCAUACGACCUACGGGUGAAAGCAGGGGAUCUUAGGACCUUGCGCGAUUGAAUGAGCCGAUGUCGGAUUAGCUAGUUGGCGGGGUAAAGGCCCACCAAGGCGACGAUCCGUAGCUGGUCUGAGAGGAUGAUCAGCCACACUGGAACUGAGACACGGUCCAGACUCCUACGGGAGGCAGCAGUGGGGAAUAUUGGACAAUGGGCGCAAGCCUGAUCCAGCCAUACCGCGUGGGUGAAGAAGGCCUUCGGGUUGUAAAGCCCUUUUGUUGGGAAAGAAAAGCAGCAGGUUAAUACCCCGCUGUUCUGACGGUACCCAAAGAAUAAGCACCGGCUAACUUCGUG